UACGGGAUAAUAUAUUUGAGAGGCAUCUCUUAAAUAUCAAAGGUGAGCCAGUACAGGAUGGACCCGCGUCUGAUUAGCUAGUUGGUAAGGUAACGGCUUACCAAGGCGACGAUCAGUAGCCGACCUGAGAGGGUGAUCGGCCACAUUGGAACUGAGACACGGUCCAAACUCCUACGGGAGGCAGCAGUGGGGAAUAUUGCACAAUGGGCGAAAGCCUGAUGCAGCAACGCCGCGUGAGUGAUGAAGGCCUUCGGGUCGUAAAACUCUGUCCUCAAGGAAGAUAAUGACGGUACUUGAGGAGGAAGCCCCGGCUAACUACGUGCCAGCAGCCGCGGUAAUACGUAGGGGGCUAGCGUUAUCCGGAUUUACU
rnacentral:rRNA from 1 species